rnacentral:misc_RNA from 1 species
GUAUAAAAACUUUAUGGGCACUAAAAGGGCCCAGAUCAACAUUCUAUUACAUUCAUAGGAGUAUGUGAAUAACAUAGAACCUAGAGAGACAAGGGAAAGCUGGCCCUUCAUUCAAAAGGCACAGCAGUCCCCAAAAAAUCUAUCAAGACAAUUCUCCAAGGUCUACAAAAAGGUGCACAGGUGGAAAAACAAAAAUAACGACAAGCGUGCACAUUACUCUAGAAGAGCCAGCAACAGCCUAUCAAAUGUUUUAUUCAAUAAUGAUCCUUCCGCAGGUUCACCUACGGAAA